UUCAAGAAGCUACCAAACUCUCCCAAGAAAUCCAUUUUGCCGAACCCACAAUCCAUCACCAUCUCCACCAAAUUUUUCAUCAAAACUUAAGAUUGUUGGAGGUAAAUCAUAUAUUGAUUUAAGACCCGGCAAGGAACGCAGCUAACGGACAAGGAGCACCUUAAGCUAGACGGAAAUUAAUCGAUCGAGGUUUUAGGAAGUAGCAAGCGUCUUUCCUUUCAGGUAAAAUGUUUUGACGUGACGGACUUCUAUCCUUGUUCAGAAGUCCGUAUUUUGGAAGUAUGUAAAUAAGAAGACGUCGAUCGAUAGUGCUGCAGUAGAUGUCAAGUCCUAGUUAUGAAUAUGGCUUUGCUGAACGGUUUUAAUGUUUUAUCCAACUCUGAUAUGUAAAUAAAGUUUUAAACUGCGCUUUUAA